UACGGAGGGGGCUAGCGUUGUUCGGAAUUACUGGGCGUAAAGCGCACGUAGGCGGCUUUGUAAGUUAGAGGUGAAAGCCCAGGGCUCAACCCUGGAAUUGCCUUUAAGACUGCAUCGCUUGAACAUCGGAGAGGUAAGUGGAAUUCCGAGUGUAGAGGUGAAAUUCGUAGAUAUUCGGAAGAACACCAGUGGCGAAAGGCGGCUCACUGGCCCGAUACUGACCGCUGAGGCACGAAAGCGUGGGGAGCAAACAGG
rnacentral:rRNA from 1 species